CGAGGAAAAGAAAUCAACCGAGAUUCCGAAAGUAGCGGCGAGCGAAAUUGGACUAGCCCUUAAGCUUUACACGCGUUAGACGAACAGCCUGGAAAGGCCGACGAUACAGGGUGAUAGUCCCGUAGUUGACGACGUGUGUUCAGUGAAAUCGAGUAGGGCGGGACACGUGAUAUCCUGUCUGAAUAUGGGGGGACCAUCCUCCAAGGCUAA
rnacentral:rRNA from 1 species